rnacentral:lncRNA from 1 species
CCCCAGUAACCUCUAAGAAUUUAAGAGAAAACAAAAUUUGUCUUCUAUGGACUUCUAUGGGCUUUUGCUCUUCCUGAAAUCCUUAUCUUCCCCCAAGGAGCCCUCCUGACUGCCCUCACUCUGAGCAGGCUGGACACGACUACUCUCCCUGGUCCCCAUCUUCAUAUCUGAAGAUUUGCUCCCUGAAAAUACUUCUUCUUAGACAUUAUGAGUUUCACCCCCACUCCAGGGGAAAAAAGAAAGGAAAGGAAACCUCCCGCGAUAAGGAUGGGCGAAAAGAGAAGGUGCCCG